UACGUAGGGCGCAAGCGUUGUCCGGAAUUAUUGGGCGUAAAGAGCUCGUAGGCGGCCUGUUACGUCUGCUGUGAAAUCCCGGGGGCUUAACCCCGGGCGUGCAGUGGAUACGGGCAGGCUGGAGGCAGGCAGGGGAGAACGGAAUUCCCGGUGUAGGCGGUGAAAUGCGCAGAUAUCGGGAGGAACACCGGUGGCGAAGGCGGUUCUCUGGGCCUGUACUGACGCUGAGGAGCGAAAGCGUGGGGAGCGAACAGG
rnacentral:rRNA from 1 species